ACUGGAAUGUAUCGAUGUCAGAGGGAGAUUCAGUCGUGUUGAACUGCAACACAUCUGGGAAAAAUACAACACAAAUCACCUGGACCAAAGGCAGAUUUAAGUUUGCAUGGGCCGUACAGCUUCAGCAAAACUUUUCAAACUUCUCUGACAGAGUUACAAUAGACCCCGUCAACAAGACAAAGCUAAAAAUUGUUAGUGCUCAACUUGAUGAUUCAGGACUUUAUACAUGUGAGAUAACUGACAACCGAGGCUUCAACAGUAUUACAUGGAAUUUAACUGUUUUUAAGAAAGUUUUUAAGAAAGAAACAAGUUUACUUAGUAAUGUCGUAUUCAUUCUUCCACUCGCUGCUGGAUUCCUUCUAUGUUGCAUCACAGCAGUUAUCUGUCUCUGCAGAAAAUAUGGGACCAGAACAGAAAAUCAGAAUCCAUUCCAGGACCAGUUUCAGUCUCAGACACAAGAGGUCAGAAAAACCUUUUCAUCUUAAAUAUAUUACUUAUAUCUAUAUUCAUUAUUACUAUUAUUACUGUAUUGUUGUUAGCACAAUGAUUAUUGUUAUAUUCUACAGGGAGAUAUUGAUUGUAUGGACUGAAAGUUGUAACUUAGCACGACUGUUUCUAUAGGAUUGUUUAGUGGCUGGUAGUGGCUGUGAGAAUGUAAUAAAAUCUGAAGAUUGUUGUAACCUUUCCUGAUUUCUGUCUCAAAGGCUGAACUGACUAAUUUGCAGCACUGACUAAGCUUGCCUCCAGCUUCAUCUCUGUCCAUUGGCGGUCAACAUGCAACUACAAGGUGGUACGAAUCAUCAGAGAAACAAGCGGAGGAGAGAGUACAUGGAGAGGCUGAAUUCAAUCUAUGAUCAUUCUUGAACUGAAACACCAAAAAGAGACAUCAAGAUGGAUCCACUUAGCAAAGGAAGGCUGGGAAAAGUGGGAAAUAUCCCCUCUGUCUUCCUUGAAUGGAUAUUUUUUACUUUUCUGAUAGUAUAUUAAUGUUUCAACAUUUUUAAUGAGCACAUUUUAUUGGACAUCUUUCUGGUUGUUCUACUUUAUGUUCUCACUAUUGCAAUUUCAUAAAAAUGAUUGUUUUAAUAUUGUAAAUAUCCCAAAUUACCCCAGUAAAGUAAGUUUUUAUUUUAAGUUAGUCCAGUAGAGGCCAUGUGCAGAUGUUAGUUACUUUUAAUUUGACCUGCUGCUCUACAGGAGGAUUUACCAAUAUUUCUUGUCUAUAACAAGAUGGCACACAUAAAUGUGUGAGAUUAAAAGUACAACUUUUCUUCAAGUUUCAGUAUUUCAAACAGUCUUUAACAUUUUGUGCCAUCAGAGUCACUUUCAGGAUUUUUGCAGGGAGGAAGGACUUUGAAUGUAAGGUUACAGGUUUGGUUCUAAUAAUGUUGAAUCGUUUGUUAUUGAUACAUGCAGAUGACUCCUUUGAGAACUCAUCACUGUUAGAGCCACAAAACCUGGAUUUAUAAACAGGCUGGUGGAAAAAAUUAAAUGAAUAAAACAACUUUCAGUUUUGAAAUAAGAUGUUGGGGCAGCAUGUUGCACUAAAACAGCUUCAAGCUGCUUUUUCGUUGACUCAACAUGACUGUGGAGCUUCUGUCUUAUUAUUGUUUUUUCUAAUUUGAUGUUUUGAU